rnacentral:sRNA from 1 species
GGGUGGCUUCCGUGGUUUGGCUCAUGUGCUGUGGUCUUGUCAGUUUUCAGCCAUGGCUCGGGAAAGUGACUUAGUCCCUCAGUACCUCAGUUUCCUCAUCCAUUACAUCAGAGCCUGUCCUCUACCUGGGACUGGAAGAUCCGCACGCAGCUGGUGGAGCAGUUCAAAUGUCUGGAGCAGCAAUCAGAGUCGCGACUGCAGCUGCUUCAAGACCUCCAGGAGUUUUUCCGCCGGAAAGCUGAGAUUGAGCUCGAGUACUCCCGCAGCCUGGAGAAGCUGGCCGAGCGCUUCUCCUCCAAAAUCCGCAGCUCCCGGGAGCACCAGUUCAAGAAGGACCAGUACCUCCUCUCGCCUGUGAACUGUUGGUAUCUGGUUCUGCAUCAGACCCGGCGGGAGAGCCGAGACCAUGCCACCCUCAAUGACAUCUUCAUGAACAAUGUCAUCGUCCGCCUCUCCCAGAUCAGUGAGGAUGUCAUCAGACUCUUCAAAAAGAGCAAGGAGAUUGGCCUGCAGAUGCACGAGGAGCUCCUGAAGGUGACCAAUGAGCUCUACACAGUCAUGAAAACCUACCACAUGUACCAUGCAGAGAGCAUCAGUGCAGAAAGCAAGCUGAAGGAGGCUGAGAAGCAGGAGGAGAAGCAGUUCAAUAAGUCAGGAGACCUCAGCAUGAACCUGCUCCGGCACGAGGACCGGCCCCAGCGCCGCAGCUCUGUGAAGAAGAUUGAGAAGAUGAAGGAGAAGAGGCAGGCUAAGUACUCUGAGAACAAGCUGAAAUGCACAAAGGCCCGGAAUGACUACUUGCUCAAUCUGGCAGCCACCAACGCAGCUAUAAGCAAAUACUACAUCCAUGACGUCUCCGAUCUGAUCGAUUGCUGUGAUUUGGGCUUCCAUGCCAGCCUGGCCCGCACCUUCCGGACCUAUCUCUCAGCUGAAUACAACCUGGAGACUUCUCGCCAUGAGGGGCUGGAUGUCAUUGAGAAUGCAGUGGACAACCUGGAUUCCCGAAGUGACAAGCACACAGUCAUGGACAUGUGCAAUCAAGUCUUCUGCCCUCCACUCAAGUUCGAGUUCCAGCCCCACAUGGGGGAUGAGGUCUGCCAGGUCAGCGCUCAGCAGCCCGUACAGACAGAACUGCUCAUGCGGUAUCACCAGCUGCAGUCCAGACUGGCCACCCUCAAGAUAGAGAAUGAGGAGGUUAGGAAAACCCUGGAUGCCACCAUGCAGACAUUACAGGACAUGCUGACUGUGGAGGACUUUGAUGUCUCUGAUGCCUUCCAACACAGUCGAUCGACAGAGUCCGUCAAGUCGGCUGCCUCUGAGACCUACAUGAGCAAGAUCAACAUUGCCAAGAGGAGAGCCAACCAGCAGGAAACAGAAAUGUUUUAUUUUACAAACGGGCCUGAUGAUACUUUCCCCAUUUGCCAUCCAAGAUUGUGAUGAGGCUUAAACGUACAUGUGUGAAAACUGUCAAGUGCUCUGUGGAUACAAAGUCGAGUGACUCUUAAUGGCCAAUAGGCCAGGUCCUGGGAGCCUAGGACCAUGGAAAAGGAGAGAGGACACCACAACCUCCCACCAGUGCAGUCGUUCCAGAAACCCAACAAGAAAUUUAAAGAAUAUGUGAAUGGCAGUAACCUCAUCACCAAGCUGCAGGCCAAGCACGAUUUACUCAAGCAGACCUUGGGCGAAGGGGAAAGAGCAGAAUGUGGCACCACCAGGCCCCCCUGUCUUCCCCCUAAACCACAGAAAAUGAGGAGACCUAGGCCUCUCUCAGUGUAUAGCCAUAAACUCUUUAACGGCAGUAUGGAAGCAUUCAUUAAGAGGAAGAAGAAAUGCUCGAACCAGGAACCAGGAUUCAGGACAAGCUAUACCGCUUGUAGUCGAGAGCUGCAUCCGUUACAUCAAUUUAUAUGGACUCCAGCAGCAGGGGAUCUUCAGAGUGCCAGGAUCUCAGGUGGAAGUCAAUGACAUCAAAAAUUCCUUUGAGAGAGGUGAAGACCCCCUUGUGGAUGAUCAAAAUGAACGAGAUAUCAAUUCAGUCGCUGGUGUUUUAAAACUGUAUUUCCGAGGACUGGAAAACCCACUCUUUCCUAAGGAAAGGUUUCAAGAUUUGAUAUCUACUAUUAAAAAGUUGCCCCAUACCCAGUUUCAUUUGGGGUGUUUCUCACAUUACUCUGAGAGAUAUUUGCAGCCAGGAAAGUGUCCCAGGAGAUGGCAAGAGAAGAG